CAUUUCUUCAUGGAAAUAAAAUCAGACCGAGACGCUAAGACAGAAGAACUACUGCGUCUGUAAAAUGAUUAAUAUGGUGAUUAUUACUUCAAGGAAAUGAUAAAGAAAUGAUCAUAAAUGUUCUUCCUUGAGCUGCGGCACCCCGCUGUAGUCCGUAAUGGACUGGCCUGAGGUCUCUCUACAAACAAGCGUCUGCUGGAAGAGAGUAGGUGAGUUGUGUUUAGUCUCUUUGCUAAAGAAAUGAGUCAAAGUUAGAAAGAUGUUUGGUGUCUAGUACUAUGUCUGUGACCCUAUAUGUACUAACCUCAGUAGAUCAUGGUGUAGUUCCGUUCAGUAACAGAACCUCAUUGGAAAAUUAGCUGAUUUAACUUUACUGUGCUCUUGUUCAAAUAUAUUAACUCGACAGCACAUAAAUCCAUACCUGUUAACAAAAUCAUGAUUUUAUUGAUAAUUCGGCUCAAUAAAAACACCUUUACCUUUUCAUUUUACUACAGUAGAAGUUUAUUAGCCCAGCUUAUAGACUACAGAAGUGGAGAAACGCCCCCGCUUAAGUUUGUUUUCUUAGGAGUUAGAACAACUCUGAAUAUAGUACUAUGGCUGUGACCCUAUAUGUCCUGUUGAUGAAGUUAGGUGCUGUUCUGAGCAUUAUUUGUGGCUAUAGAGUGGCGUUUUGGUUGGGGGCGUGGCUCUCUGUAUUUCUAUCCUGCGGUCGUUACUAAAGUUGGUAUAACUAGAGAAGCAAGCGGUCGACAACAUUCAUCUCUGGAGGGGGGGUCUAACUCGGUGUUACGGUGGGUUUG